GGGUGAUUAGCUCAGGUGGUAGAGCGUUUGCUUGACGUGCAAGAGGUCACUGGUUCGAGUCCAGUAUUACCCA
rnacentral:tRNA from 7 species